GUCCUGGUAGCUCGGUUGGAAGAGCAGGGCAUAUCUAUGUGUUUCAUGGUUUGUUCCCUGCACGGGCGCAUGUUCGAGUCAUGCCCAGGGCU